UGCCAAAGAGUGUCAAAAAAUUUUUGAAUU
rnacentral:piRNA from 1 species